UGCAGUCGAGCGGUAACAUUUCUAGCUUGCUAGAAGAUGACGAGCGGCGGACGGGUGAGUAAUGCUUGGGAAUAUGCCUUAUGGUGGGGGACAACAGUUGGAAACGACUGCUAAUACCGCAUAAUGUCUACGGACCAAAGGGGGGGAUCUUCGGACCUCUCGCCAUUUGAUUAGCCCAAGUGAGAUUAGCUAGUUGGUGAGGUAAUGGCUCACCAAGGCGACGAUCUCUAGCUGGUUUGAGAGGAUGAUCAGCCACACUGGGACUGAGACACGGCCCAGACUCCUACGGGAGGCAGCAGUGGGGAAUAUUGCACAAUGGGCGCAAGCCUGAUGCAGCCAUGCCGCGUGUGUGAAGAAGGCCUUCGGGUUGUAAAGCACUUUCAGUAAGGAGGAAAGGGAUGUAGUUAAUAACUGCAUUCUGUGACGUUACUUACAGAAGAAGCACCGGCUAACUUCGUGCCAGCAGCCGCGGUAAUACGAGGGGUGCAAGCGUUAAUCGGAAUUACUGGGCGUAAAGCGUUCGUAGGCGGUUGAUUAAGCAAGAUGUGAAAGCCCAGGGCUCAACCUUGGAACUGCAUUUUGAACUGGUCAACUAGAGUACUGUAGAGGGUGGUGGAAUUUCCA
rnacentral:rRNA from 1 species